AAGCAAUCCUUCCACUUCAGUCCCAAGUAGCUAAUACUACUAGAUUAACCUCCGCACAGGGCCUCUGGCCACACACUCUCAGUCUCCUCUGGCCUCCUGCACCAUCAGUUCCCUCCAGUCCUCCAGACUCAUCAGCUGCCAUGAUGCUGCCUCUGAGAUUUUCCUGCUCACCUACUGCUGAACCACACACCCAACCCUCCUUUGCUACAGUGGUCAGCCAACAACAUAGCCAAGAAAUUAUGGAAGUUUUGUAGAAAUUAAACUAAGGCGAUGAACAACAGUGGUUAAAAGUAGAAAUAAAAUUAUGUCAUUUUGGCAGUCUGCA
rnacentral:lncRNA from 1 species